rnacentral:rRNA from 1 species
UACAGAGGGUGCUAGCGUUGUUCGGAAUCAUUGGGCGUAAAGGGCGUGUAGGCGGUUUGUUAAGUCAUGUGUGAAAUCCCUCGGCUCAACCGGGGAACGACGCAUGAAACUGGCAAGCUAGAGUACCAAAGAGGGGGGUGGAAUUCCCGGUGUAGCGGUGAAAUGCGUAGAUAUCAGGAAGAACACCCGUGGCGAAGGCGGCUCUCUGGGACGGUACUGACGCUGAGGCACGAAGGUCAGGGGAGCAAACAGG